UAAGGAAUAUUGGACAAUGCCCGCAAGGGUGAUCCAGCCAUGCCGCGUGCAGGAUGAAGGCCUUCGGGUUGUAAACUGCUUUUGUACGGAACGAAAAGGCUCUGGUUAAUACCUGGGGCUCAUGACGGUACCGUAAGAAUAAGCACCGGCUAACUACGUGCCAGCAGCCGCGGUAAUACGUAGGGUGCAAGCGUUAAUCGGAAUUACUUGGCGUAAAGCGUGCGCAGGCGGUUAUGUAAGACAGAUGUGAAAUCCCCGGGCUCAACCUGGGACCUGCAUUUGUGACUGCAUAGCUAGAGUACGGCAGAGGGGGAUGGAAUUCCGCGUGUAGCAGUGAAAUGCGUAGAUAUGCGGAGGAACACCGAUGGCGAAGGCAAUCCCCUGGGCCUGUACUGACGCUCAUGCACGAAAGCGUGGGGAGCAAACA
rnacentral:rRNA from 1 species